UACGGAGGUCUCAAGCGUUGUUCGGAUUCACUGGGCGUAAAGGGUGCGUAGGCGGCGCGGUAAGUCGGGUGUGAAAUCUCGGAGCUUAACUCCGAAACUGCAUUCGAUACUGCCGUGCUUGAGGACUGGAGAGGAGACUGGAAUUUACGGUGUAGCGGUGAAAUGCGUAGAUAUCGUAAGGAAGACCAGUGGCGAAGGCGGGUCUCUGGACAGUUCCUGACGCUGAGGCACGAAGGUCAGGGGAGCAAACGGG
rnacentral:rRNA from 1 species